AGCCUAGGGACGUGUCCAAGCACCUCCCGGGGACUGCUGAGUAUGGAGAGCAGGGCUCCGCGACGGACCCCGCAGGCGGGGAGCGGGCGAGCGCAGCUCCGAGAUCAGGCGCGCAGAGGCCCAGGCGGCUGCCGGCAGUGCCGCUUCCACCCCACCCCCUGUCCCCACGGGCAGUGCCCCCACCCCGUCCCACCUAGUCCCCACCCCAGCAGUGGCCGGGUCGGGCCUGGCCCUCCUGCUCCUGCUGCCUGCGUCCUACUAGCCUCCCUCACCGCUUUGAUCACAGGAGAAAGCCUGCGUAAGUAACAGAAGGAGGCCAUCUGCAAGCCAGGAGCAGGGCCUCUGAAGAAACCAGACCUGCCAGCACCUUGAUCUGGGACUUCCAGGCUCCAGAACUGUGAGAACAUUAACUUCUGUGGUUAAGCUCCACAUCUGUGGUAUUGGCUGUGGCAGCCUGAGCUGACUAAUAAACACAUUUUCAGCACAUCCUUACCCCAAGAAUCUUGUUCAGGCUCCGGUCCUUUGAUCCCAGUGAAGUUGUUUUUCUUCAGAGUGUUCCCCCACAAACUUCUUCAUUCUUACCUAGGAAACAUGCUUAAAGUGUUUUCUCGUCCGCUCAUAUCCAAACCAAGACUUCCCUCCUGAACCACCUUCCAAAACUGCCCUGGCCAGCAGUUUUCAGCUCUCCUGCAGGUCUACACCAUCUUAUCACCUGUAUGCACAUUUGCUUUUUUCUCUGAUUGUUUCACUCAGUGAUACUUGGCCUCCCUAUCAGAAUAUGAGCCCCUUGAAGUCCAGAGUUUGUACCUUACAGUUGACUACCUCACAGAGCCCAGUAUGAAACUGGGCACAGAGUGAACACACAGUAGAUAUUUGCUGAGUUAUUCCAAUUAAACUUAUUUACUUAAAAACAUUAUUAAAGCUAUACAGUACUUCAUUUUCUAAAAACUCAAGACGUAUUGUGUGUGUUAGUCAUCAUCAACAUCACUGGAGCAGGAGUUCUCAGGAGCUAGUUUUCUCCUAAAGUCUAGGCUCAGAGAGGUUGGACUUUACACAGGUUGCUAACAGUCACACAAGUCAAGGACAGGACAAAAACUGUAGGAAACACCGAAGACAACCUCCAGCCCCCACAUCCUUUCAUUGACAAAUGACUUUGUUAAUUCUCUCUCUACAUUAGAAGAUUUGCAAUUCUUGGUUUCCUUGUGGCCCUCACUGAUCCACUUCGCUAUCUUCUCACAUGAGAAGUCAAGAUCCCAGAUCUUAGAGAUUCUUCUGUCCCAAGAGGUCUGCCAUGGGAGAACAGAGAGGCUGGUACGG
rnacentral:lncRNA from 1 species